rnacentral:rRNA from 1 species
GACGAACGCUGGCGGCGUGCCUAACACAUGCAAGUCGAGCGAGGAGGAGGAAGCUUGCUUCCGAAUCCUAGCGGCGGACGGGUGAGUAACGCGUGAGCAAUCUGCCUUUUACAGGGGGAUAACGCAUCGAAAGAUGUGCUAAUACCGCGUAAGACCACGGUGUCGCAUGACACAGAGGUCAAAGGAGCAAUCCGGUUUGAGAUGGGCUCGCGUCCGAUUAGCUAGUUGGUGAGAUAACAGCCCACCAAGGCGACGAUCGGUAGCCGACCUGAGAGGGUGAUCGGCCACAUUGGAACUGAGAAACGGUCCAGACUCCUACGGGAGGCAGCAGUGGGGAAUAUUGGGGCAAAUGGGCGAAAGCCUGACCCAGCAACGCCGCGUGAGGGAAGAAGGGUUUCGGCUCGUAAACCUCUGUCCUAUGGGACGAACAAAUGACGGUACCAUAGGAGGAAGCCCCGGCUAACUACGUG